rnacentral:rRNA from 1 species
GAUUCAUCGUCAGCGAGGUCGGCUUCCAUGUGGUCUAGCGAUGAUGUCGUGCCUUCGGGCUCGAUUCACGCUGCCGCUGUGGUAUGCGUCCGAUCGCGUCGGCGUGCACUUCUCCCCCAGUAGAACGUCGCGACCCGCUGGGUGUCGGUCUAAGGGCCGGGAUCGUUGACUGUACCGUCGCUUCGGCGUUACGUGUGCAGACGCCCGGACUUUUUCCCGACCGACUGCCCGGCGGUAUAACAAAUGGUAUCGAGCCGCACUCGAAUGCGUUCAGACUCGUCGCAAGCUUGGUCAUUCUCAUACCGGUAAGGCGGACCCAGUGCCGCCCCUGGUGAUGAUCGGCUGUUGGCCGACGAUGCUCUCGAACCGGCUUACACUUGCUGUACCAGCGAUACCGGUCGGCGACGCUAUUGCUUUGGGUACUUUCAGGACCCGUCUUGAAACACGGACCAAGGAGUCUAACAUGUGCGCGAGUCAUUGGGAUCAUUGAAACCUAAAGGCGCAUUGAAAGAGAAGAUCGUCCUUGCGACGAUCGAGGGAGGAUGGGCUUAACAUCACGAUGUUGCUCCGCACUCCCGGGGCGUCUCGUAGUCAUUGCGACUUGAGGCGCACCCAGAGCGUACACGUUGGGACCCGAAAGAUGGUGAACUAUGCCUGGUCAGGACGAAGUCAGGGGAAACCCUGAUGGAGGUCCGUAGCGAUUCUGACGUGCAAAUCGAUCGUCGGAACUGGGUAUAGGGGCGAAAGACUAAUCGAACCAUC